rnacentral:lncRNA from 1 species
GAACCCCUGGAUAAAGACCAGCUCAACCAUGGCUGAGAAAACAGACCCAGGCUCCCCAGAGCGGUUUACCAGCCUGCCUCUGGGCAGAGACUAAAAGAAAAGCAAAACAAGAAGAAAACAACGGCAAACAACUCCCAGUGUGUUUCCUACUGACCUUUUUUUCUUGGAGGAAAGCGAAGGGAGAGAAACGGGCUUCACCAGUGUUCUUUGGCUUCAUCAAUUCACAGAUUUGCUUAUUGACAACUACUGGAACAAAAAGAUGGGAUGAAUAAAGCACACUAAUUGUCCACAGGGUCUCCUGUGACUAAAAGCAUGUGAGCUGCUCCCCAGGCUGAGCUUUGACCCUCCCAAGCGCUUCCCCAAAGGCCAUGACACUGCAUCAGAUUGCUUCUGGACCCUUUCCUCAGAGUUUUCAACAAAUACAAACUCAGGAAUGGAACACAGCACCAGACUUGCUAAUCGAGAGGCAAUGGUCACAGCCCAAAUGGGUGCUGUGCAUGGAUACGGGACUUAGGAGACGGGAAGCGGGGAAGGAAAAAAAAAACACUUUCAUAUAUUUUUCCUGCUGGGUGGUCAGAAGGAAAGGCCACGAAGCUAAAGGCGUCCCAUUGAGACACUGCUCUGCAAAGACGGACCUCACGUGUUGCCGCCAGAGAAGAGAGCACCUGUUCAUCCCGGCUCACUGUGAGGCUGAGCUCAGCGCUGGCAGGCGAGGGACCUCACGUGUCCCCCACAGCCACAGAGAGGGCUUCCCUGCAGGGAAAUCACAUCCGAUGUGCCUGUGCCUACACCAGACUUAAGACAGCCUCGAACACGUCCACGAAGCCAUUGUCCAGUAGGGCUGUUAGUUUUAAUGCCAGUAAGUAUUAUCUUUGAUUAAAAGGAUGAAUGUAUAUAGGGGUGUGUGUGUGUGUGUGUGUGUGUGUGUGUGUGUGUGUACUUGUGUGUGACAUAGGGAAAAGGUGUGGAGAAUGAAGAAAGGGUUCCAUUUAAGCAUUUGCAAAUAUUCGACGGCACCAUGAAAAGACAAAAAAAUAUGUCAUAUUUUGCUAUGAUUUUGUGUGUACUUGUAAUAAAAUUGUUAAAUAUAAAUUGUUCUGUAUUUCUUUUGCAAGCAUAAAUUCUAA